AGGGGGCAUGCACGGCUCAGGGCUGCGGGCGAGGGGGCAUGCACGGCUCAGGGCUGCGGCUGGGCCCUCAGGGUUCCCGGCCAGGCCCCACGGGCCCUUUGGGUUUCCUCCACCAGGAAAACGUGGCAGGAUCUGGGCCAGGCCCACACUCCCCUGGCAGACUUGGUGCUGUGCACCAUCAACGCCAUUGAGGACCAGAGCCAGGAUGCCCUCGUGUCUGGAGUCAGAAGCCUGUGCCAGAGCCUACUGGGGCAUCACUUCGGGAGGGAAGACGAGGAGCUGGCCCGUGCUCUGCGAUCCCUCCGGCAGGGCCUGGAGCGCUACCCCGGCCUGCUUCCUCCCCACAUACAAGAGCCUUGUGCAAAGUCUGUACAGAGCGGUCUUCACUGAGUACCUCCAGGCCUUGGUCACCCAUCUCAAGAAGCUGAAGCCCCGGAAGUGGAAAGACCAGCAGGGUCAGGUGGAAACGGACGUCCAGGAGCUGCGUGAGACUUUCGGGAGGCAGGAAGGCCUCUGUGACGGAGCCCCUGGCCUGGAGGCCUUCAUGGAGGUCUUCCAGCUCAGCGGGGAGAGGGGCAGCCCGUGUCUGGAUGGAUGGCUGGCCUCCUUCAGGGACAGGUUCCCAGACUACGUGAGGAGGGAAUCCAAGGCCAGAGAAGGGCAAGGACUUGCCCAGGGUCCCCUGCAGGCUGGUGCAGGCCCCUCCCUGGUCUCUCCGCCUCCUGACACUGAGAUCCACCCAGCUGGACCCUCGGAGCGGCCCAGUCCAGAUCCCUUCCUGGUGUCCAGGGCUCCCGGCACACAGGGCCAGCCCGAGGAGCCUGAGCUCAGGAGCUGCUGCCCUUGCUCCUGGGGCUUCCUCACGACUUUCACAAGGUGACCGAGGGUGUGAGGGCUCCAGGGCCUUCUCCAGGGACGCUGGUCUGGCUCCUAGACAAACCCCCCACCAGUCUAUUUCCUUUGCUUCCUGUCCUGAGAUGCCCGUCACCAUUGUCUUGGCCGAGAUCUAUCCUGUCUGUUCCCUGGCAAAUGUCUUCACGGCGGAGGACCAGCCUCAUGUCUGGAGGACCAGACAGACGUUUGUCCUCAUCUCCUCGGCGCCCGCUGGCCGCCCCAAGUGGAGGUGGAAGUGAGCGCUCGUUUCAGGGAGCCUCUCCCCCUGGGGCUCUGGACAUUGUGUGGCUCUGGGACCCGGUUAAGGCGGAGGAUGUGAGUGCCCCUGGCCCCUUCACAGGCGGCAGUCUGAAAUCCAGAAAGAAGCCACCCUUCUCAAGCCUGGACUCCUCCACCAGAAGGAUCCUGAGUCAGACACCAGGCAGUGAAAGGCCGGCCUCCUCCAUGGUCCACCCAGAAGCAGCGGAGGGCGAGGGCGGGGCAGGCAGAGGGCAAGGUGCGGGAGCGUCCCACCAGCCUGGCCGCAUGUCCUCUCCUGUGUGGACCGCAGCUUUACUGAGAUGCAAUUCACCUGCCGCGUGUUUUGACCACUGAAGUCUCACGUACCAUUCAGUGGUUUUUAGCAUAUUCACAGCUGUGCAGCCAUCACCGCAGUCAAUGUUAGGACUUUUCAUCUACCCUAGAAAGAGACCCUGCAACUUUGUUGGCAUGACCCCAAACCCCUCUUCCCGCCAUGCCCCCGGCCCUGGGCAGGCCACAUAUGCGUGUCUGUUCCGGACACGUCGCAUGGAGUGAAUUACGUAAUACGUUGCCUUUCGUGACUGGCUUCUCUC
ensembl:lncRNA